rnacentral:rRNA from 2 species
UAGUAUUAGUUGUGUUCUUGAAACUUAAAGAAUUUGGCGGUAUCCUACUCCGUUCAGAGGAAUCUGUCUCGUUAUCGAUAGUCCGCGUUGGACCUUACUUAGGGUUAGUUUUGGUUUGUAUACCGCCGUUUAUUGAUUAUCUUUUUAGAGUAUCAUGAAUUUUCUGGUUUCUUUAAUUUGAUUUAUUGCAGGUCAAGGUGCAGCUUUUUCUAAGUGUAAUGAUGGAUUACAGUGUUAUGUGUUGUUUGGAUUGUUUAUUUUAAUAUUGGCAUGAAAUUGGAUUUGGUUGUAAUGUUUUGUAGAUUGUUUUCAUGAUAGUUGGUUCUAGGAUAUGUACACAUCGCCCGUCGCUCUCAUUUAAGUUUUUGAUGAGAUAAGUCGUAACAUAGU